GGUGAGAAGGGAGCACGGUGAGAUUUGGCGUGAGGUGAGAGGGAGAACGCGUGUGUGACGCGUGAACUGUGGAGAAUUUGUAUUCAGCUCAAAACCCACCGUUGGGUUCAAAGCGUGGAGCUAAAUGUGGAGAGAAUCUCGUUUUCCCUUAAUUUAUCGUGGAGUUUGACGCAGACAUCUUUUAGCAACUGGCAUCCAAGCUUGAACACAAUUGUCGUUCGAAUGCUUUAGUUUUCCGUUGCUAGAACACAUCAAUGCGUUGACAAAAUCACAAAUAUUCUGAUCAGAACUCCCUCCUUCCCUCAUAGCUUUCUCU
rnacentral:lncRNA from 1 species